CAUGUUAAUCAUUAUAAUGUGAAUCAGAAUUGGAUCCUUUAUGUAUAGCCCCGCCAUUCACUGCUAAUUUGUAGGCUAUUGGGAACUUGCAAGAAAGAUAUUGCCUGGUCAUAACAGGCUUUCUAGCACAACGUUUCUGAAAGCCAUCC